GCAUUAUGGGUCUGCAGAACCGAAGGAUCCGGCACUCAACCACCUCUCCUUCCAUCUCACGGAGCUCCUCCUCUUCGCCAUCUAAUUAUUUAUUUCACGUGUGUGAGUGCACUGUCGCUGUCUUCAGACACACCAGAAGAGGGCAUCGGAUUCCCAUUACAGAUGGUUGGGAGCCACCAUGUGGUUGCUGGGAAUUGAACUCAGGACCUCUGGAAGAGCAGUCGGUGCUCUUAACCGCUGAGCCAUCUCUCCAGCCUCCUAGUUCUUAAUUUCUGACAGUCAUCCUAGAAGAGACAAAAGCGCAACCUACUGAGAAGGGGAUGCUACUUCAAUUUUCUUUACCUUUUAGCGAUGCUGGAGGUGACAAAUUAUUCAGCCUGACACCACUCACAAGGUAACAGACUUCUUUCUGCCCCUCAGAUAUGGAAGUGAAAAGUUGCAUGUCAUCUGUUGGCCUAACAGAGUGCUCUAUGGGGAGGCAAGAGGCAGAGCUAAGAUUAUUAUCCCGUCUUUGAAAAGUCCCAUUUCCCUAAAAACCCCGAGAAGGAACUCAGGUGAGAAAGACUAAGCAGAGACGUACUGGUUCACCAAGUGUUCUAGAACAUCUUAUUUUAGCUAACACUGAUACAUGGAUCUCUAAAAUAACUCAAAAUUACUUUAUGUUCCUUUCUCACCCCCCCAAAAGAAAAAAAUGGUAAUAUUGGUGUCUCUAUAAUACUUUUAAUUUUAGAAUACUAGGUUCACAGCAGGCCUAGACUCCACGCUGUCACCUAAAGUAAUAUAGAGCUACGUGCUCAUUCAUAUGCCCACUGAGCUUAUUUGGCUACAGCCAGAGGGAGAUUUAAAAUAGUGAGAUUUGAGAAUAAACAUGCCUAGUAAGGGGGUCUACCCAUACUCAACAUGCUUAUCCCUUAAGUCAUUCAUAUAAUACUUGGUAGGUGAGGUACAAAGACAAAGGUGAACAGUUGAGUCAAGCUCCUCAUCUCCUGAAGGGAUAAAUCAUGCUCUCAAAGACAGCAAAGAUGUAAGUGGUUCACCAGGGAGCACUCAUGGUAAGUACUAGACGGUGCAUAUCCACAUUUACUAAUUAUUUGUAAUUCAUUAUUUAUUAAAGACUGUGCUGGCUGGUUUUAUGUCAACUUGACACA